UGGUCACUCACUGGACAGCCACUGAG
rnacentral:piRNA from 1 species